rnacentral:rRNA from 1 species
CACGGGUGCUUGCACCUGGUGGCGAGUGGCGAACGGGUGAGUAAUAUAUCGGAACGUGCCCAGUCGUGGGGGAUAACGUAGCGAAAGCUACGCUAAUACCGCAUACGAUCUAUGGAUGAAAGCGGGGGAUCGCAAGACCUCGCGCGAUUGGAGCGGCCGAUAUCAGAUUAGCUAGGUGGUGGGGUAAAGGCUCACCAAGGCGACGAUCUGUAGCUGGUCUGAGAGGACGACCAGCCACACUGGAACUGAGACACGGUCCAAACUCCUACGGGAGGCAGCAGUGGGGAAUUUUGGACAAUGGGCGAAAGCCUGAUCCAGCAAUGCCGCGUGCAGGAUGAAGGCCUUCGGGUUGUAAACUGCUUUUGUACGGAACGAAAAGGUUCUCUCUAAUACAGAGGGCUCAUGACGGUACCGUAAGAAUAAGCACCGGCUAACUACGUGCCAGCAGCCGCGGUAAUACGUAGGGUGCAAGCGUUAAUCGGAAUUACUGGGCGUAAAGCGUGCGCAGGCGGUUUUGUAAGACAGAUGUGAAAUCCCCGGGCUCAACCUGGGACCUGCAUUUGUGACUGCAAAGCUAGAGUACGGCAGAGGGGGAUGGAAUUCCGCGUGUAGCAGUGAAAUGCGUAGAUAUGCGGAGGAACACCGAUGGCGAAGGCAAUCCCCUGGGCCUGUACUGACGCUCAUGCACGAAAGCGUGGGGAGCAAACAGGAUUAGAUACCCUGGUAGUCCACGCCCUAAACGAUGUCAACUGGUUGUUGGGUCUUCACUGACUCAGUAACGAAGCUAACGCGUGAAG